rnacentral:rRNA from 1 species
GAUGAACGCUGGCGGCGUGCUUAACACAUGCAAGUCGAACGGAAAGGCCCAAGCUUGCUUGGGUACUCGAGUGGCGAACGGGUGAGUAACACGUGGGUGAUCUGCCCUGCACUUCGGGAUAAGCAUGGGAAACUGGGUCUAAUACCGGAUAGGAACACUUCUUGGAUGUUGUGGUGGAAAGUUUUUUCGGUGUGGGAUGAGCUCGCGGCCUAUCAGCUUGUUUGUGGGGUAAUGGCCUACCAAGGCGUCGACGGGUAGCCGGCCUGUGAGGGUGUACGGCCACAUUGGGACUGAGAGACGGCCCAGGCUCCUACGGGAGGCAGCAGGGGGGAAUAUUGCACAAUGGGCGCAAGCCGGAUGCAGCGACGCCGCGUGGGGGAUGACGGCCUUCGGGUUGUGAACUCCUUUCGCUAUGGACGAAGCGUUUUGUGACGGUACCUGGAGAAGAAGCACCGGCUAACUACGUG